UUGAAUCCCUAGGGGUUCAGUUCUGAACUGCGGCGCAAAAUGGAAGGCGUUCUUAUCGUAAAUCAUAAUAAGGAGACUUGAAAUAAUUAAGCGAACUUUAUUGCAGUACCUGUGCGAGCUGACGAGAGAGAGAACACGAACCUCCCCCUAAGUGUACAAUUGGUUUGACCUAAGAUAAGAUGGCGGUCCCUAGGUUUCCCGCAUUUCAUCCAGUUGGCAAGUCCUACAGUCUGCAAGCCGGUCCGCCUUUCGUGAAAAGAAGCAUGCGCGACCUGCAGAGCUGGAGAGCGAAGCAUUUUGGGAGUUGAAGUCUCGUUCAUUGGUCCCUCGUCUAGGGUCGGGGUUCCAGCAGCACAUUUUUUUCUGCUCACACUUCGAGUUCCGGAACAAGGGGAAAAAUCAGUACUCGAGGUGUUGAGCGAUGGAUCUCCUUGGGACCCUGGAGAUGACCACUGUUUCCGGUUUGGGCCUCCUUGCACAUCAAGCAAAUAGGGUCCCUUUGGGCGGCGGCUCCUGGAGGGAAAUGCGGCCUGGAUUUCCUGGAACACUCGGAGCUGGAGUCCCAGCGCUGGGAGGAGGAAAGCUGCUGGCAGCAGAACACCACCCCGCCCCCCAAACAUAACUGGUUUCUCUGGAAAAAGGGGGUGAGCUGGAGCCUCAGGAUUCCCGUUACAUUGGACGCUCCUAGAAGAGGUGCCUACUCCUGUGAUGGGCCGCCACGAGACACCCCUUCAGACAACUGUGACUCUGUGACCUUUGGGGCCCUGUGACCUUGGACAAGCCACAGGUUCCUGCUGGGAUCUGGUCUCCUCACGCCUUAGCCUGGGGCCUGUGACCAGGACCUGCCAAGGCCUGUGGAUGGUCCAGUGAGGGGAUAAAGCUCAGCACGAGCAAGUGAGGUGUUGGGGGGUGUUGGGGAGGCAGGUUUGGGGGAUACACUGGGGCAAGGGUGGGUUGAAGAUCCUCCAUCCUCCUUCAUUCGUUCAUGAGACAAAUAACUUGUUGAGCACUUACCAUUGUGCCAAGCACUGGCGCACAGCAGUGAGCACAAGAGACCAAGGCUCAAUCCACAGACAAAAGUCCCCGCAAAGUCAGGAGGAGAUGGGGAACAGUGAAGCAGGGUGUGAGGGCUGGCGGAGAGCCUCUGCUAGGGGACCGGAGAGCUGAGGCAUGAAUGAAGCGGGCUAGGCUGCAGAGGGGGCGGUGGGAUCCUAAGGCUCAGAGGUGGGUGCAGGUGAGGGAAAGAGGGGGAAGCCCAUGCUGAGAGAGAGGUGGGGGCUUGUAGCCCAGGAAGGGCCUUGGCUUCAUUCAUGGGAAACCACCAAGAGCCCUGACUAGUGCAGUGACAUGUCUGCAAAAUAACCCACAGGGGUUGGGGGUGGCGUAGGCGAUGCUGCAGGAGACGCGCCCUCAGAGCAUGGGCUUUGAGACCAGGCAAGGCUGCUUCCCAGCUCUGAGUGUGGGCAGGGAACUCCCCCUCUCAAGCCUCAGUUUCCUCCUUGGUAAAAGGGGGGCUCAUAGCACUCAGAUGACCAAGAAGAAGGACCAUGAAGGGUGUAGCGACAGCUUCCCAGGGUGGGAGUUGCUCUUUCUGUGAGUCUGAAGCCACUUGCUUGGGCAGAGCUCAAGGCUGGCUUUGAAUGUGAGCAUGGGUGUGGCUUUGAAUGAGGCUGCUCAACUCCCAGGGAUGUGUGGGGUCAUGACCUUGGAUGGGGAUACCCCUGAGUUGUCUGCAGCUGCUUUCCCUUUCUGAGGCCAGAGCUGGAUUUAGGAGAGCCACUAGGGUGAGGGAAGAGGGGCAAAGAGCCACCCUGAGAUGCAGAGGAGUCUGGGGGUCCUCCUCUACAGUCUCAGGUUGCCCUUCUGACUCAUCCUUCGCCCCCAGAGGGGGCUGGACCCACUGGUAUGCUCAGUCAGUCUCCCUCUCCCCUGAUCCUCAGCCGCCAUGAGGGAACACAGCAAAACCCAGCCCUGGCGCAAUGACGGGAAGGGUAGGAAAGUAGUGGUUUGUUGUGCCUGACGUGUCUGGACAGGGCCGCCUGUCGAGGAGAAGGGACCCCACCUGCCCGGGUACUGUGCUAAGUGCUGUCCUGCAUCAGUUGAAAGCCAGUGGAAUGAUUUCCUUCCACUCCAACUUUCAGUGGCCUCCUGUUGCCCUCCAGAUGAAGAACAGACUCCUGUCAUGGGUGCACAGGCCUCCUGGUUCUUCCUCAUUGAUGCCAACUUUGUUCCAGUAUCCAAGCCUUGCAUUGAUCCCUACACCAAUCCCCCUUGGCCAGGUAAACUUCUGUGCCCUGUUCAGCUCAGUUUUAACUGCCACUUCCUGGAGGAAGCCCAUCUUGACCUGCAAACUAGAUUGAGUUUCAUGUUGUUUGGUCCUAAGGUUGCCACCUCCUCUUCUGGCAACACCUAUCACUGUCGUAAUUUCAUGGUGUGAUUACUCGAUUAUUGACUAUCUCCAUGUUAAGACUGUAGUUAAUGAGGUCAGGGACGCUGUCUUGUUCACAGUGGUAGCCCCAGCGUCCGACACAGUGUCUGCACAUAGCAGAUGCUCAAUACAAGCCUAUGGGAUGAUGGAGGAAUCCUCUUGACAACCAGGGGAAGGAGGUGGUAUUAUUCUCUUUUUUACAGAUAAGGAACCAACAGCACAGAGAGGUUAAGUAACACGCCCCAAGGUCACACCGCCAGUGCACAGCCAGACUCAGAUGGUGUCUGUCUGGGGAUGACUCCCUGCCAGCAGGGCUCAGAAGGUGGGCAGUUGGGGUUAUGCAGAGAGGAACUAGGACCAUCUGGACAGGGAAGGGGUGUGGGGGCGUGCCCCACCCAUCCGUGUUUUCUCCUCGCUCUGGUGGUUCGUGGCUGUUUUCCUCAAGGGCGACUCAGGUGACCUUCAGGUUGGUCCCAGGGGCCGGCUGGGUGGAGGGCCUGGUCUGGCCCCGGCUGCUUUCCUCGCCCCUUUGCCCGCCCGCUGGCUUCACGCACAGAUUACAACUUCCCCUCCACGGCAGUCUUACGCAGGCCACCUCCGGCUCGCCAUUGUCUCAUUGUUUGCCGAGGGAAGCUCCAGGAGGAAAUUAACCUGCUGCUCACCCCAAGCAGGGAGUUUCACCCCCAGUCCCCACUGGGAAUGACUGGGGCCUGGGCAGGAGGGGGUGGGGGCAGGUAGUAGACAAUACAACAGGCAGCCUUGAGAGGAGUGAGCUCCCAGGCAGGGAAAAAUGCAAGCAGAAGCGCCAUUCCCUGGCAGAUUUACUGGGCCGUAUUAUGGGCCAGGCUGUGCAUAAGGGAACUGGAGACACAGAUGUGAGACAAAGGUCUUCUUGAGGGCCCUGCAGCUGAUGGGAGCUGCUGUGUGGGGGCCUCAGGGCCAGAUGGCUCUGCAAGCUGGACAGGUAACCAAGUCUGAGAGCGUGUGGGCAAUGGGGAGUGGUGGGGCAUAGAGCAAAAUGAAGACUGAGGGCAUCUCCUAAAGGCCUUUAGAUCCUGAUUUCAUUUUAACAAGGUGCUGAUGAAAAAAUGCUCAAAAUCCUUCAAGUUGGACUUCAGCAAUAUGUGAACCGAGAACUUCCAAAUGUACAAGUUGGGUUUAGAAAAGGCAGAGGAACCAGAGAUCAAAUCGCCAACAUCUGUGGGAUCAUAGAGAAGGCAAGGGAAUCCAGAAAACAUCUACUUCUGCUUCAUUUACCAUGCUAAAGCCUUUGAUUGUGUAGAUCACAACAAACUAUGGAAAAUGCUUCAAGAGAUGGGAAGACCAGACCACCUUACCUGGCUC